rnacentral:rRNA from 1 species
GACGAACGCUGGCGGCGUGCUUAACACAUGCAAGUCGAACGGAAAGGCCCUGCUUUUGUGGGGUGCUCGCGUGGCGAACGGGUGAGUAACACGUGAGUAACCUGCCCUUGACUUUGUGAUAACUUCAGGAAACUGGGGCUAAUACCGGCUAGGAGCUCCUGCUGCAUGGUGGGGUUUGGACAGUUUCGGCGGUUGGGGAUGGACUCGCGGGUUAUCAGCUUGUUGGUGGGGUAGUGGCUUACCAAGGCUUUGACGGAUAGCCGGCCUGAGAGGGUGACCGGCGACAUGGGGACUGAGAGACGGCCCAGAGUCGUACGGGGGGCAGCAGUGGGGAAUAUUGCACAAUGGGCGGAAGCCUGAUGCAGAAACGCCGCGUGCGGGAUGACGGCCUUCUGGUGGUAAACCGCUUUCGCCUGUGACGAAGCGUGAGUGACGGUAAUAAGUAAAGAAGCACCGGCUAACUACGUG